rnacentral:misc_RNA from 1 species
CAUUUGUUUGCCCUGAAAAAGCAAACGAAAAAAAAUACAACUUUCAACAACGGAUCUCUUGGCUCUCGCAUCGAUGAAGAACGCAGCGAAAUGCGAUAAGUAAUGUGAAUUGCAGAUUUUCAGUGAAUCAUCGAAUCUUUGAACGCACCUUGCGCCCCUUGGUAUUCCGAGGGGCAUGCCUGUUUGAGUGUCAUUAAAUCCUCAACCGCGCCGAUUGAUUUCGGUGGGGCUUGGACUUUGGAGCGUGCUGGCGAAGGUCGGCUCCUCUUUAAAUGCAUCAGCGGAAGAAACCUUUGUCUUUCCUGCCUUCGGUGUGAUAAUUGUGGUGCGCCGCGGUGGAACUUCAACGAUCCGCUUAAACGGUCUUCGGAAGAAACCUCAUGUGAUCUUGACCUCACAUCACGUAGGACUACCCGCUGAACUUAAGCAUA